UACGGAGGGGGCUAGCGUUGUUCGGAAUUACUGGGCGUAAAGCGCGCGCAGGCGGACCUGCAAGUCGGGGGUGAAAGCCCGAGGCUCAACCUCGGGACUGCCUUCGAUACUGCGGGUCUUGAGUCCGGGAGAGGUGAGUGGAAUUCCUAGUGUAGAGGUGAAAUUCGUAGAUAUCAGGAGGAACACCUGUGGUGUAGACAGCUUACUGGGCCACUUCUGACGCUGAGACGCGAAAGCGUGGGUAGCAAACAGG
rnacentral:rRNA from 1 species